rnacentral:rRNA from 1 species
GAUGAACGCUGGCGGCGUGCCUAAUACAUGCAAGUCGAGCGAACAGAUGAGGAGCUUGCUCCUCUGACGUUAGCGGCGGACGGGUGAGUAACACGUGGAUAACCUACCUAUAAGACUGGGAUAACUUCGGGAAACCGGAGCUAAUACCGGAUAAUAUAUUGAACCGCAUGGUUCAAUAGUGAAAGACGGUCUUGCUGUCACUUAUAGAUGGAUCCGCGCUGCAUUAGCUAGUUGGUAAGGUAACGGCUUACCAAGGCAACGAUGCAUAGCCGACCUGAGAGGGUGAUCGGCCACACUGGAACUGAGACACGGUCCAGACUCCUACGGGAGGCAGCAGUAGGGAAUCUUCCGCAAUGGGCGAAAGCCUGACGGAGCAACGCCGCGUGAGUGAUGAAGGUCUUCGGAUCGUAAAACUCUGUUAUUAGGGAAGAACAAAUGUGUAAGUAACUAUGCACGUCUUGACGGUACCUAAUCAGAAAGCCACGGCUAACUACGUG